CGGACGGGUGAGUAACGCGUGAGGAACCUGCCUCAGAGUGGGGGAUAACACACCGAAAGGUGUGCUAAUACCGCAUAACAUAUGGGAGGGGCAUCCCUUUCAUAUCAAAGAUUUAUUGCUCUGAGAUGGCCUCGCGUCCAAUUAGCUAGUUGGCGGGGUAACGGCCCACCAAGGCGACGAUUGGUAGCCGGACUGAGAGGUUGAACGGCCACAUUGGGACUGAGACACGGCCCAGACUCCUACGGAAGGCAGCAG
rnacentral:rRNA from 1 species